AUGAAGAAAAUCAAACUAGCCGAAGCUGCAAUCUCAUUUUUAGACCAAUCCAAAAGUCAUGUGGAGAAAUGAAGGGCAUAUUCCGACUCUAGACAAUGAGGUAAACCCAAUUGUCUAAUGCAUGAGUUCUAUGAGUAGAAGCUCUCUCGGCGAGUGGCGGUGCAUCACACAUUUUUCGACGAAGUGGUCUGAAGACAAAUUGCUCAUGGAGUCUCUACAGGCUUGUUGGUGGGUUUGUUUUCUACUUAGGGUACUACGGUGAUUUUGAACCGUUUUG
rnacentral:lncRNA from 1 species